AUUAUUUUAAAAUCAAGCUUUGAAUCCUUAAAUCUCUCUGAAUAUUUUGAAAAAUUCCUAAGCCUUUGGCUGAAGGAUAUUCAAAUAUUUUCAAUUAAAUUUAUUUUUUUUUAUUCAAAGCCAAAAAGAAGAUUUUUAUUCCUAGAACUCUAUAAAUAGGACCUAGCACCAAGCAUUUUUUAUUCAUCAAGCUAAGUUCAGAGGCUGCAAGUUGCUAGGUUAUUGUGAGAGUGUAAACACUUGGGUUGGGGAUUAUAAGCUUGAUCAUCAUAAGCUUAUCAAACACUUUGGGAAGUGAGGUUCGUUAGUAUCUCGGUUGUGGUUAGAUUGGUCUUUCAAGUCUUUGAGGAAAUCUAAGCUCUUGAGCACAUAAGUUUUGGAGUGUUCCAAAAAGUCCCAACUCAGUCCACAUAUCCCGGUAACUUUGGUAAGGAAAAUAGGCUAGAAUCAAUAUGUUUAUGUUUAUGUUAUCUUAUGUGUUAUGUUAUGAUAUGUUAUGAAUAUGUUAUGAUUGUGUAUGUUUGUAGGCUUGGGCUUAUGCCCUAUUUGACUAACAAGACCCCAAAAAGAUUGUGGGCAUAAGCCUAUUUAGCUAGUAGGACCCCACUAAUCUCAUGGGCAUAAGCUUGUUUAGUCUAUGGGACCCCAAGUAAUAAUGGCCAUUAUAAUAAGUGUAUUAUGUGUUAUGAUAUGUCUUUAUGUUUAUUACGAAAUUUAUGUUUAUGACUA